AUUGAACGCUGGCGGCAGGCCUAACACAUGCAAGUCGAGCGGGGUUUUCGGACCUAGCGGCGGACGGGUGAGUAAUGCGUAGGAAGCUACCCGAUAGAGGGGGAUACCAGUUGGAAACGACUGUUAAUACCGCAUAAUGUCUACGGACCAAAGUGUGGGACCUUCGAGCCACAUGCUAUCGGAUGCGCCUACGUGGGAUUAGCUAGUUGGUGAGGUAAUGGCUCACCAAGGCGACGAUCCCUAGCUGGUUUGAGAGGAUGAUCAGCCACACUGGAACUGAGACACGGGCCAGACUCCUACGGGAGGCAGCAGUGGGGAAUAUUGGACAAUGGGCGCAAGCCUGAUCCAGCCAUGCCGCGUGUGUGAAGAAGGCCUUCGGGUUGUAAAGCACUUUCAGUAGGGAGGAAGCGUUGUGUGUUAAUAGUACACAGCGUUGACGUUACCUACAGAAGAAGCACCGGCUAACUACGUGCCAGCCGCCGCAGUAAAAC
rnacentral:rRNA from 1 species